AUUGAACGCUGGCGGCAGGCCUAACACAUGCAAGUCGAACGAGUGGCGGACGGGUGAGUAAUGUCUGGGAAACUGCCUGAUGGAGGGGGAUAACUACUGGAAACGGUAGCUAAUACCGCAUCCCAUCGGAUGUGCCCAGAUGGGAUUAGCUAGUAGGUGGGGUAAAGGCUCACCUAGGCGACGCUCCCUAGCUGGUCUGAGAGGAUGACCAGCCACACUGGAACUGAGAAACGAUCCAGACUCCUCCGGGAGGCAGCAGUGGGGAAUAUUGGACAAUGGGCGAAAGCCGGAUGCAGCCAUGCCGCGUGUAUGAAGAAGGCCUUCGGGUUGUAAAGUACUUUCAGCGUGGAGGCGGUACCCGCAGAAGAAGCACCGGCUAACUCCGUGCCAGCAGCCGCGGUAAUAC
rnacentral:rRNA from 1 species